GCAAGAUAAGAGUAUCUGAAAGAGGCACCAAAUCCUGUCUGAUCUUGGAAGCUAAGAAGGGGCAGCCCCGGCUCAUACUGGGAUGAGAGACUGCCAGUGAAUAUCAGGUGUUGUAAGCU
rnacentral:rRNA from 11 species